rnacentral:rRNA from 1 species
UACGAAGGGUGCAAGCGUUACUCGGAAUUACUGGGCGUAAAGCGUGCGGAGGGGGUUUGUUAAGUUUGUCGUGAAAGCCCCGGGCUCAACCUGGGAAUGGCGAUGGAUACUGGCGAGCUAGAGUACGGUAGAGGAGAGUGGAAUUCCCGGUGUAGCAGUGAAAUGCGUAGAGAUCGGGAGGAACAUCAGUUGCGAAGGCGGCUCUCUGGACCAGUACUGACGCUGAGGCACGAAAGCGUGGGGAGCAAACAGG